rnacentral:misc_RNA from 1 species
GAUGAAGAACGUAGCGAAAUGCGAUAAGUAAUGUGAAUUGCAGAAUCCAGUGAAUCAUCGAAUCUUUGAACGCACAUUGCGCCCGCCAGCAUUCUGGCGGGCAUGCCUGUUCGAGCGUCAUUUCAACCCUCGACCUCCCUUUGGGGAAGUCGGCGUUGGGGACCGGCAGCACACCGCCGGCCCUGAAAUGGAGUGGCGGCCCGUCCGCGGCGACCUCUGCGUAGUAAUCCAACUCGCACCGGAACCCCGACGCGGCCACGCCGUAAAACACCCAACUUCUGAACGUUGACCUCGAAUCAGGUAGGACUACCCGCUGAACUUAAGCAUAUCAAUAAGCGGAGA